rnacentral:ncRNA from 1 species
AAAGAUGAAAAGAACUUUUGAAAAGAGAGUUUACACAGUACCGCUAAUUUCCACAAUGGAAACCGCUUGAAAAAAGUACUUAAAUAUGAAUUUCAAUUCCCCAUGUGGUGAGUCUAUAUUUGAUGAUGAGAGUCAACGAGGCUUUGACAAGUGAUAAAAACGGCUAGAGUAGACCUAUUAGGACAAAGUCUAGUCAAAUGUCACGGGUUGGACUUUUUUGAGUGUAAUGUAUAACAUGUCUUCUUUUGACUGUGGUGGUGUUGAAAUGCAUGCAGAUCAAUGACACUCGACAAAUCAAUUCAUACUUACUCACCACAAAAAACGUUGAGGAAAUGGUUUUAAACGACCCGUCUUGAAACACGG